rnacentral:rRNA from 1 species
UUUAUGGAGAGUUUGAUCCUGGCUCAGGAUGAACGCUGGCGGCGUGCCUAAUACAUGCAAGUCGAGCGAACGGACGAGAAGCUUGCUUCUCUGAUGUUAGCGGCGGACGGGUGAGUAACACGUGGAUAACCUACCUAUAAGACUGGGAUAACUUCGGGAAACCGGAGCUAAUACCGGAUAAUAUUUUGAACCGCAUGGUUCAAAAGUGAAAGACGGUCUUGCUGUCACUUAUAGAUGGAUCCGCGCUGCAUUAGCUAGUUGGUAAGGUAACGGCUUACCAAGGCAACGAUGCAUAGCCGACCUGAGAGGGUGAUCGGCCACACUGGAACUGAGACACGGUCCAGACUCCUACGGGAGGCAGCAGUAGGGAAUCUUCCGCAAUGGGCGAAAGCCUGACGGAGCAACGCCGCGUGAGUGAUGAAGGUCUUCGGAUCGUAAAACUCUGUUAUUAGGGAAGAACAUAUGUGUAAGUAACUGUGCACAUCUUGACGGUACCUAAUCAGAAAGCCACGGCUAACUACGUGCCAGCAGCCGCGGUAAUACGUAGGUGGCAAGCGUUAUCCGGAAUUAUUGGGCGUAAAGCGCGCGUAGGCGGUUUUUUAAGUCUGAUGUGAAAGCCCACGGCUCAACCGUGGAGGGUCAUUGGAAACUGGAAAACUUGAGUGCAGAAGAGGAAAGUGGAAUUCCAUGUGUAGCGGUGAAAUGCGCAGAGAUAUGGAGGAACACCAGUGGCGAAGGCGACUUUCUGGUCUGUAACUGACGCUGAUGUGCGAAAGCGUGGGGAUCAAACAGGAUUAGAUACCCUGGUAGUCCACGCCGUAAACGAUGAGUGCUAAGUGUUAGGGGGUUUCCGCCCCUUAGUGCUGCAGCUAACGCAUUAAGCACUCCGCCUGGGGAGUACGACCGCAAGGUUGAAACUCAAAGGAAUUGACGGGGACCCGCACAAGCGGUGGAGCAUGUGGUUUAAUUCGAAGCAACGCGAAGAACCUUACCAAAUCUUGACAUCCUUUGACAACUCUAGAGAUAGAGCUUUCCCCUUCGGGGGACAAAGUGACAGGUGGUGCAUGGUUGUCGUCAGCUCGUGUCGUGAGAUGUUGGGUUAAGUCCCGCAACGAGCGCAACCCUUAAGCUUAGUUGCCAUCAUUAAGUUGGGCACUCUAAGUUGACUG